rnacentral:rRNA from 1 species
UACGUAGGGUCCGAGCUUUGUCCUUAUUUAUUUUUCUUAAAUAGCUCGUAUUCGGUUCCGUAAGUCAGAUGUGAAAACUCAGGGCUCAACCCGGAGACGCCAUCUGAUACUGCGGUGACUGGAGUCUGGUAGGGGAACACGGAAUUCCUGGUGUAGCGGUGAAAUGCGCAGAUAUCAGGAGGAACACCGAUGGCGAAGGCAGUGUUCUGGGCCAGUACUGACGCUGAGGAGCGAAAGCGUGGGGAGCAAACAGG